GACGUGCUAAUCUGCGAUAAGCGUCGGUAAGGUGAUAUGAACCGUUAUAACCGGCGAUUUCCGAAUGGGGAAACCCAGUGUGAUUCGUCACACUAUCAUUAACUGAAUCCAUAGGUUAAUGAGGCGAACCGGGGGAACUGAAACAUCUAAGUACCCCGAGGAAAAGAAAUCAACCGAGAUUCCCCCAGUAGCGGCGAGCGAACGGGGAGCAGCCCAGAGCCUGAAUCAGUGUGUGUGUUAGUGGAAGCGUCUGGAAAGGCGCGCGAUACAGGGUGACAGCCCCGUACACAAAAAUGCACAUGCUGUGAGCUCGAUGAGUAGGGCGGGACACGUGGUAUCCUGUCUGAAUAUGGGGGGACCAUCCUCCAAGGCUAAAUACUCCUGACUGACCGAUAGUGAACCAGUACCGUGAGGGAAAGGCGAAAAGAACCCCGGCGAGGGGAGUGAAAAAGAACCUGAAACCGUGUACGUACAAGCAGUGGGAGCACGCUUAGGCGUGUGACUGCGUACCUUUUGUAUAAUGGGUCAGCGACUUAUAUUCUGUAGCAAGGUUAACCGAAUAGGGGAGCCGAAGGGAAACCGAGUCUUAACUGGGCGUUAAGUUGCAGGGUAUAGACCCGAAACCCGGUGAUCUAGCCAUGGGCAGGUUGAAGGUUGGGUAACACUAACUGGAGGACCGAACCGACUAAUGUUGAAAAAUUAGCGGAUGACUUGUGGCUGGGGGUGAAAGGCCAAUCAAACCGGGAGAUAGCUGGUUCUCCCCGAAAGCUAUUUAGGUAGCGCCUCGUGAAUUCAUCUCCGGGGGUAGAGCACUGUUUCGGCAAGGGGGUCAUCCCGACUUACCAACCCGAUGCAAACUGCGAAUACCGGAGAAUGUUAUCACGGGAGACACACGGCGGGUGCUAACGUCCGUCGUGAAGAGGGAAACAACCCAGACCGCCAGCUAAGGUCCCAAAGUCAUGGUUAAGUGGGAAACGAUGUGGGAAGGCCCAGACAGCCAGGAUGUUGGCUUAGAAGCAGCCAUCAUUUAAAGAAAGCGUAAUAGCUCACUGGUCGAGUCGGCCUGCGCGGAAGAUGUAACGGGGCUAAACCAUGCACCGAAGCUGCGGCAGCGACGCUGAUGCGUUGUUGGGUAGGGGAGCGUUCUGUAAGCCUGUGAAGGUGUGCUGUGAGGCAUGCUGGAGGUAUCAGAAGUGCGAAUGCUGACAUAAGUAACGAUAAAGCGGGUGAAAAGCCCGCUCGCCGGAAGACCAAGGGUUCCUGUCCAACGUUAAUCGGGGCAGGGUGAGUCGACCCCUAAGGCGAGGCCGAAAGGCGUAGUCGAUGGGAAACAGGUUAAUAUUCCUGUACUUGGUGUUACUGCGAAGGGGGGACGGAGAAGGCUAUGUUGGCCGGGCGACGGUUGUCCCGGUUUAAGCGUGUAGGCUGGUUUUCCAGGCAAAUCCGGAAAAUCAAGGCUGAGGCGUGAUGACGAGGCACUACGGUGCUGAAGCAACAAAUGCCCUGCUUCCAGGAAAAGCCUCUAAGCAUCAGGUAACAUCAAAUCGUACCCCAAACCGACACAGGUGGUCAGGUAGAGAAUACCAAGGCGCUUGAGAGAACUCGGGUGAAGGAACUAGGCAAAAUGGUGCCGUAACUUCGGGAGAAGGCACGCUGAUAUGUAGGUGAAGCGACUUGCUCGUGGAGCUGAAAUCAGUCGAAGAUACCAGCUGGCUGCAACUGUUUAUUAAAAACACAGCACUGUGCAAACACGAAAGUGGACGUAUACGGUGUGACGCCUGCCCGGUGCCGGAAGGUUAAUUGAUGGGGUCAGCGCAAGCGAAGCUCUUGAUCGAAGCCCCGGUAAACGGCGGCCGUAACUAUAACGGUCCUAAGGUAGCGAAAUUCCUUGUCGGGUAAGUUCCGACCUGCACGAAUGGCGUAAUGAUGGCCAGGCUGUCUCCACCCGAGACUCAGUGAAAUUGAACUCGCUGUGAAGAUGCAGUGUACCCGCGGCAAGACGGAAAGACCCCGUGAACCUUUACUAUAGCUUGACACUGAACAUUGAGCCUUGAUGUGUAGGAUAGGUGGGAGGCUUUGAAGUGUGG
rnacentral:rRNA from 1 species